CGGCGUAGGACUCUGCCAAGAAGAAUGGAUGCAAAAUUAGUGAAAAAAGGCGCCAGUCAGGAAAAUAAAAUAAAAUUAACUUUAUUAAACAACACCGGCUAUGUUUUUGAGGUAAAAGAUUAUAUGACACUGCGCAAGCAUCAUCACAUAGUGGGAGCUUUAGUGGGCACUUGCAGCAAUCGAGGAUGGUCGGCCAAUGAUUGCACCAUGCCCGUGGAGUUGUCACCUUUGGAGACAAGACUUUUGUUGGAGCAGGGUAUUGCCGAGUUGGUUUCUAAAAAGGAGUCUUUGUUAAGGCAGCUAAGUAAUGAAGAGCUACUUGAACAUGCAAAAGAGUUUGAUUUGAGAAUAAAUCAACAAAAGGAUACUUUAAAUGAGGAAAAACUGAAAGAAUCUGAGAGGAAUAUGGAGAAAAUUAUGGCCGGGAAAAGGAAAAAGUUGCUGAAACAAGGUGUUCAGGAAAAAGACAUCCAUCUAAAUCCCUCGGAGAUAUUACAAGAAAUACGUGCUGGCCUUAAAUUUGAUAGUAAGAAUGCUUUACUGGACAUACCCUGUGCUCAUGCUGAAGAGCAUGAAGCUCAACUGGUGCACUACCUGAAACCUGAUCAUUCUCUUAAGUAUUUAGUUUUUCGCGAUUACUGGUUAAAAGGCAAAUAUAUCACCUGUGGUGAUGCCUUUGGUGCCGACUUCUUAGUCUAUCCUGGAGAUCCUUUACUCUAUCAUGCUUCUCAUAUUGUGAUAUUACUAAAAAGUUCUAAAAUUAAUCCCUUGGACUUGGUGACCAAAGUGCGUCUAUCAGUUACAGUAAACAAAUUGUGUGUUUUCGCCUAUUUAGAUGAGGAGUCAAAGGAUGCGAAUGGAAAACCUAAAAUUGUCUAUCAAACAUUUGUAUGGGAAGGUAAUCGUGACAAGGAGCGUUAAGGAAUUCGGAAGGUGCAAGUCAAUUCUAAUGGGAGUUAAAAUUCAAGACUGAAAGCUCGUGGCAUACAAAACUUUACCACCAGCAAACAAAAACACUUUUCGUUAUCAUUUCAAACAAAAAUCAUCAAGCAAUUAAUAAAAAAAAGUAAAUGGGAGUGUCCUUAUCAUCUAUUCUAAACAAUUUAUUAAAAUUAAAACUGCUUUUUUUCAACAAACAUCUUUAGAGUUCCUCACCAUCCUUGCGAGAUUUAGCAGCUUCAAGACCACAAAUAACAAAUGUUACCAUUAUUUCACCAACUAUCUACUGACAAAGUUAAACACGAAAUCCCAACAUAAGGAAACGAAGGAAAAACUUUUUAAAAUGGGGGGGGGAGAUGAGAAGGUGUCUUAGAAGAAAAGG